rnacentral:rRNA from 1 species
UUGCCUACGGGGGGCUGCAGUCGAGAAUUUUUCUCAAUGGGCGAAAGCCUGAAGGAGCGACGCCGCGUGGGGGAUGAAUGGCUUCGGCCCGUAAACCCCUGUCAUUUGCGAUCAAACCUUACGACCUAACACGUCGUGAGCUGAUAGUAGCGGAAGAGGAAGGGACGGCUAACUCUGUGCCAGCAGCCGCGGUAAUACAGAGGUCCCAAGCGUUGUUCGGAUUCACUGGGCGUAAAGGGUGCGUAGGCGGUCGGGUAAGUCUGACGUGAAAUCUUCAAGCUCAACUUGGAAACUGCGUCGGAUACUAUUCGGCUAGAGGAAUGGAGGGGAGACUGGAAUACUUGGUGUAGCAGUGAAAUGCGUAGAUAUCAAGUGGAACACCAGUGGCGAAGGCGAGUCUCUGGACAUUUCCUGACGCUGAGGCACGAAAGCCAGGGGAGCAAACGGGAUUAGAUACCCUUGUAGUC